rnacentral:rRNA from 1 species
GACGAACGCUGGCGGCGUGCCUAAUACAUGCAAGUCGAGCGGAGCGGCGGACGGGUGCGUAAUGCCUAGGAAUCUGCCUGGCAGUGGGGGAUACCGUCCGGAAACGGGCGCUAAUACCGCAUACUAUCAGAUGAGCCCAGGUCGGAUUAGCUAGUUGGUGGGGUAAAGGCCUACCAAGGCGACGAUCCGUAGCUGGUCUGCGAGGAAGAGCAGUUACACUGGAACAGAGACACGGGCCAGACGCCUCCGGGAGGCAGCGUUGGGGAAUAUUGCACAAUGGGCGAAAGCCUGAUCCAGCCAUGCCGCGUGUGUGAAGAAGGUCUUCGGAUUGUAAAGCACUUUAGGUUGGGGGGCGUUACCACCAGAAUAAGCACCGGCUAACUUCGUGCCAGCAGCCGCGGUAAUAC